GUACACGCUGUGACUAGUAUAUCAAUAAGCGGAGGAAAAGAAACUAACAAGGAUUCCCUCAGUAACGGCGAGUGAAGCGGGAAGAGCUCAAAUUUGAAAUCUUGAAAGGUCACCUUUCACGAAUUGUAGUUUAAAGAAGUGUUUUCUGUUACGAUCGUAAUAUAAGUUCUUUGGAAUAGGACAUCACAGAGGGUGAGAAUCCCGUCUAUGAUUGCGAUUUGUAGCUUUGUGAUACACUUUCAAAGAGUCGGGUUGUUUGGGAAUGCAGCCCAAAACGGGAGGUAAAUUUCUUCUAAAGCUAAAUAUUGGCGAGAGACCGAUAGCGAACAAGUACCGUGAGGGAAAGAUGAAAAGAACUUUGAAAAGAGAGUUAAACAGUACGUGAAAUUGUCAAAAGGGAAGCGUUUGACACCAGUGUUGUUUUCUCGAAAAUCAAUUAAAAAUGGCUCGAUUUUGUAUUGCUUGAGACCUUAAAAGCUCACUGUACAUUUUUCGUGUCUUUUUUAAUGCACUUUUCGUUUAACAAGUCAACAUCAGUUUCUUUUGUUGUAAAAGGGUCAUUGGAAGGUGGCUUUCUUUUCGGAGAAAGUGUUUAUAGCCUUUGGCCUCUGCAAUCGGAGAGACUGAGGUCUGCAGCGUAGACUCUUCGGGGUUAGAUACAUUUGUGCUAAGUUAUAGCUUUUUAUAGACAACUUGUUGACUAUAAUUAGUCUUGUAGCUUACUCGCUUAUGCUAUUUUACCUACGCUUAGGAUGUUGAGUAGCGACAUACGCAC
rnacentral:rRNA from 1 species